rnacentral:lncRNA from 1 species
CACAGUAUUUGUGGGCUAUGGCAACCAAUCCCCUUGGGCUUUCUUUUGCUUUAAUUUGCAUAAACACAGGCAUCAUAUGAAUAUUCAGUGAGUGGCUUUGCAUUAAGUAAGUGCCCUUAAUCAGCUUUUCAGUUCAGUUUUAUUGGUUGCACGCACAGUCAGUUAUUUCAUCCAGAAAAUCUGAAGGCCCUACAAACUAACCAGAGUAUGACCACCAUAAAGCAAGGAGACAUUUGGAUGGUCUCCUCUACAGCAGCAGCACAGAUGGUCUACACACAGGCUUCACUGCAGAGGGCUUCUCGCCCUCCCUACUGCUCAAACCAGGUCCUGUCUCUACACUUAGCUUGUUAGAUGGGCACCAUGGGAUAUCAUCUGAUGGAGCCCCAGGACUGGUGAUGCUCUCUGUAAGUAAUGCUCUUCUCAUGGAGCCAGUGUUUCCUAGAAGCAGGACUGGGAAGGCACACUUGAAAAAAAAGAGGACAACUUUCUCCACUAAACACACACACAAACACAUACCUAUAUAAAUUAUUUGGCGACUACUAAAAGUUAAGGAGGCCCACAAUAGCUUUGGGUUUGUUGUUGUUGUCAUUUUGUUUUUCUGAUGGACCAGUGUUUAAGCUUAUUCUGUUCCCCGUAAGACAUCUCUCGAAUAGUAGUUUUCCAUUUAGUAGGCAAUACUUG